rnacentral:rRNA from 1 species
GUGAGGAAUUUUCCGCAAUGGGCGAAAGCCUGACGGAGCAAUGCCGCGUGAAGGAUGAAGGCCUAUGGGUUGUAAACUUCUUUUCUCAGAAAAGAAUUAUGACGGUAUCUGAGGAAUAAGCAUCGGCUAACUCUGUGCCAGCAGCCGCGGUAAGACAGAGGAUGCAAGCGUUAUCCGGAAUGAUUGGGCGUAAAGCGUCUGUAGGUUGUUUAAAAAGUAUUCUGUCAAAGAUUAGGGCUUAACCCUAGAUAGGCAGAAUAAACUUUUAAGCUAGAUUUUGGUAGAGGAAGAGGGAAUUCUCGGUGGAGCGGUGAAAUGCGUAGAUAUCGGGAGGAACACCAAAGGCGAAGGCACUCUGCUGGGCCAAUACUAACACUGAGAGACGAAAGCGAGGGGAGCAAAUGGGAUUAGAUACCCCUGUAGUCC